AGUAGUUUGAUCAUGGCUCAGAACGACGCUGGCGGCAUGCCUAACACAUGCAAGUCGAACGAGACCUUCGGGUCUAGUGGCGCACGGGUGCGUAACGCGUGGGAAUCUGCCCUUGGGUUCGGAAUAACGGUUAGAAAUGACUGCUAAUACCGGAUAAUGUCUUCGGACCAAAGAUUUAUCGCCCAGGGAUGAGCCCGCGUAGGAUUAGCUAGUUGGUGAGGUAAAGGCUCACCAAGGCGACGAUCCUUAGCUGGUCUGAGAGGAUGAUCAGCCACACUGGGACUGAGACACGGCCCAGACUCCUACGGGAGGCAGCAGUGGGGAAUAUUGGACAAUGGGCGAAAGCCUGACCCAGCAAUGCCGCGUGAGUGAUGAAGGCCUUAGGGUUGUAAAGCUCUUUUACCCGGGAUGAUAAUGACAGUACCGGGAGAAUAAGCCCCGGCUAACUCCGUG
rnacentral:rRNA from 1 species